GGGGUACUCGUCAAAUGUGUGACGCAUGGCCAAGGAUCCCUGGCGUCAAUUUCCGACGCAAAAGGUAUACCUUUUGCGUCGUUUUUCAACGCGGGGGGUCAAUCAGAUAGACAUUCAUGUUAAUCCCUCACCGUCGGAUAUAGACGAAAGGAAAUCAAUGGGGACGCCGUAGCUAUUGUCUAUUGAUUUGUUUGACAGAUUCACCAUUAAACGUGUUUCUAAUGACAUUUCUAGCGAGAAAUGUACUUUUUCCUUGAAUAAUCUUCAGUCAGUGAAUGUGUAUGAUCUUUAUUAAUCUUUAUUAUCUGAAUGGGAAAUGCAAUAUUUUAGGACCGAUUCACCGUUAAACGUGUUUCUAAUAACAUUUCUAGAGAGAAAUAUGCUUUUUACUUGCAUAAUCUUCAGUCAGUGAUUGUGUCUUUAGUUUUAUAGUUAUUAGGAAGAUUUUAUCGGCUCGCUCGCAUGUUUCAACGACGUCAGGUUGCUAGGGACGCUGCUAUCGCUAAACUAGCAAGCUGAUCUUUUUUCGACGCUCCGUAUGGCAGAAAAAAACGCUGGGAGGGGCGUCUAAAAAAACGGCCGUGACUUUUUCCAGAAACGCUCUGCUCCAUAGGAAUAUAAUGUAAAACAUGAGCUGGCAGAUUUAAAAUCGCUAGAUGUGAACACGGCCAGUCAAACGUGGCGGAAUAAUAAUAAUAAUAAUAAUAAAAACACUAACGAUUCCAAUAGGUUGCCUUCGCACUUUGUGCUUGGCACCCUAAUAAUAAUAAUAAUGACGAUGAUGAUGUUGAUAAUAAUAAUUUAAUAUUUAUCUCACUUUGUGUGUCUGGGAGUUUUGUUGGCGAAUCAAAUACAUCAUCAGCGAUGCCCUCAAUGUAUGCGACGAUAGCCAGGAUCAUUGCGCUUCUGGACUGAACUAUUUCAUCAUGGCUCAAAAGAAGUUUAGGCCCUGCCCCUCCUGCCAAGAACCUAACCAGGUGAGCCGAAAAACCUGCAGCAGUUGUUUCGCAGCUCUCUCAAACAAGGGAAAACUAAAGGCCAAAACGGGGUCCCUGGAUAGGAAGUGGGCGGAAGGGGUCCUGAAAAAUCGAAACGCGGCAAGAGUGGUGAACUCUGCCCAUAUUGCAGUGAAAAAACUAAGUGCAUUGGGCUAUGUCCCAAUUUUAUUUUAUGCCAGAAGGGGAGAAAGCCUCUGGAAAGUGGGUGGCUGAUGUGAUGAACCAGCUGACACCCACUGAGGAUAACCUCAAAAUUUUAGCCAGUAUGAAAAAGGCAUACAAUUUUGUUUUGCUUAAAGAAGGUUGCCGGAAAUGUAGUAGGCAAAAAAUAUUUCAUUAUGACGCCGUCACAGAAAGGAGGAUGAAUGAGGGGCGAGCAGAAGUAAGGGUGAGAUGGUUACCUUGCUCUGCAUGGUUGGAACGUAUAUUGUAGCACACACAACUUUGAAUGUACAGGUGGGUCUCCGAAAAUUAGAAUAUUGUGAAAAGAGUCGAUGCAGCCUUCUACCAGAAGAUUUUAGAGUUGACGAGCU
ensembl:lncRNA